UGUCUCCCUCCCUCCCUCUUUCUCCUCGGAGGCUGUGGAGCCGCCGCGCCGCCGGCUCGCAGUCCCGCCGGGGAGCGAAGUGCGGGUGCGGGUGCCCCCACCACCCGGGGCGGCGGGCCGCGCGGAGGCUCGUCCGGGACGGAGCCCGGGCGCGGGGCCGGGGAGCCGGGGAGCCGGGCGGCGGGCCGGCGCCGCGUCCGGGCGAGUCCGGGGCAGGAAGGCGGCCGCAGCCGAGGGCAGAGGGCAGAGGGCGGAGAGCGGAGAGCGGAGAGCGGCCUGGCCGCCGGGAGCCCCGCCCGGGACGCCGCCGGCCGCUGGGCGCGCACCCGGGCGGCCCGGAGUCCGGAGCGAGGCGCUGGCCGCCGGCGGGGGGCGUGCCCCUCCCCGCCCCGCGCGGCCGCUGCGCCGGGCAUGUGAGCGGGAAGCCGGCCGCGGCGCAGGACGGCGGCGGAGCAGCAGCGGCAGCAGCGGAGCCCGGAGCGCGGAGCCCGGCGGAGCGCGGAGCCAGGCGCCCGGCAGAG